UCACUUGUGGGGUGCUGCAUUUCCCAGAGCAGAUGGGAGCUGUCGGGUUCAGAGUCAGAAAUUAUGGAAAGGGAUGCAAUGUGUAAGAGCUCCCUUUGGGCAGGAGAGAUUGGAGAGGAGGGAAUAGGACAAUUGAAGUGUUUUGGUUUGGUUUGGUUGGAAGACUGUACUAGCUUGCCAGAGGGAAUUCAGAGGAAACCAGAACACUUUCCCAAAGAGAAGGAAAUCUUUUCCUGACCCAGCUGAGGAAGGGGCCAAUUGAAUCUGCUUUCUAGAGGAAUGCCUUUGGAAGUUUCCUCCCAAAUUUGCCCUAAACCAGAACAAAUACACUCAGCAAAUAAAGAACUUUGCCCGGCACUGACCUGCGGCUGCAGGUGAAACAAGCAGGACGAGCAGAGAUGCUGCUCAGCAUUUGUGCACCAUGAGAGCAGCAUGUGACUGUACUGGUAGAAGGCAGAGAAGAUAAGGACCUGCUGUCACAGAGGAGACACUGCUGCAGAGUGCACUGCUACAAGGUAUGCGGCUCUUCAGGCGGGAGCUGAACUGCAGCAUAGUGGGAGAUCUGCCGCCUUUCAAGGCUUUGAACUGCGGUGUGGCAUUGGGAGGGGCCCAGCACUGCUCCGGUGCCUCUGGGUGUCUCUGCUGGAUUCAUCCAGGCCUGACUUUCAUUUCUGUCAGCAGCAGGAAAGCACUUACAGGGUGGGGAUUUGAAAGAAGGAGAGGAAGUUCCUUAAUCUUUUUUACAUCUCCUCUGUAUCUUUGCUGAUGUAAAAAAAUGGGGGAUCAACUUUCGUGAUCAAUUGUGAUUUCAUUUUUCACUGCAUUGAGAAUGGCAGAACACUUUGCAUGGUUCUCAUCUUGGCCUGGAGGAAACACUAGAAAAUUGGAUGAGAUCCAAGCAGUUCAGAUACCAGGACUCAGAGGAGCAUUUGCAAAGGAGUGGGUGCACAUC